UCCCUGGUAGUCAAGUGGCUAAGACGCCAUGCUCCCAAACCAGGGGGCCUGGGUUUAAUCCCUGGUCAGGGAA
rfam:Ovis aries breed Texel chromosome 5, whole genome shotgun sequence.